rnacentral:rRNA from 1 species
AUUGAACGCUGGCGGCAGGCCUAACACAUGCAAGUCGAACGGUAACAGGAAGCAGCUUGCUGCUUUGCUGACGAGUGGCGGACGGGUGAGUAAUGUCUGGGAAACUGCCCGAUGGAGGGGGAUAACUACUGGAAACGGUAGCUAAUACCGCAUAACGUCGCAAGACCAAAGAGGGGGACCUUAGGGCCUCUUGCCAUCGGAUGUGCCCAGAUGGGAUUAGCUAGUAGGUGGGGUAACGGCUCACCUAGGCGACGAUCCCUAACUGGUCUGAGAGGAUGAACAGCCACACUGGAACUGAGACACGGUCCAGACUCCUACGGGAGGCAGCAGUGGGGAAUAUUGCACAAUGGGCGCAAGCCUGAUGCAGCCAUGCCGCGUGUAUGAAGAAGGCCUUCGGGUUGUAAAGUAAUUUCAGCGGGGAGGAAGGGAGUAAAGUUAAUACCUUUGCUCAUUGACGUUACCCGCAGAAGAAGCACCGGCUAACUCCGU